ACUGAACGCUGGCGGCAUGCCUUACACAUGCAAGUCGAACGGUAACAGGCCGCAAGGUGCUGACGAGUGGCGAACGGGUGAGUAAUGCAUCGGAACGUGCCCAGUCGUGGGGGAUAACGCAGCGAAAGCUGCGCUAAUACCGCAUACGAUCUCUGGAUGAAAGCGGGGGACCGAAAGGCCUCGCGCGAUUGGAGCGGCCGAUGUCAGAUUAGGUAGUUGGUGGGGUAAAGGCCCACCAAGCCAACGAUCUGUAGCUGGUCUGAGAGGACGACCAGCCACACUGGGACUGAGACACGGCCCAGACUCCUACGGGAGGCAGCAGUGGGGAAUUUUGGACAAUGGGCGCAAGCCUGAUCCAGCAAUGCCGCGUGCAGGAAGAAGGCCUUCGGGUUGUAAACUGCUUUUGUACGGAACGAAACGGUCCGGGUUAAUACCCUGGGCUAAUGACGGUACCGUAAGAAUAAGCACCGGCUAACUACGUGCCAGCCGCCGCGGUAACAC
rnacentral:rRNA from 1 species